UUAGGAAUGUGAAAGUGAUGGUUCUCAAAAAAUCAAUCUGGAAGCAGAUCUGCCAACCUAAGAAUGUGGUUGAACAGAGUCUAACUAGGAAAAGGAGAGAUGCAAACUCGCUCCCCCUCCCCCCUCGCCAUCGUCACCCGCCCCCAGCGAGCAAACCGCCCCCUACUCUGCGCUGUCUCUCCGAUGGCGUCCGCCUCUGGGGCCAUGGCGAAGCACGAGCAGAUCCUGGUCCUCGACCCGCCCACAGACCUCAAAUUCAAAGGCCCCUUCACAGAUGUAGUCACUACAAAUCUUAAAUUGCGAAAUCCAUCGGAUAGAAAAGUGUGUUUCAAAGUGAAGACUACAGCGCCUCACCGGUACUGUGUGAGGCCCAACAGUGGAAUUAUUGACCCAGGGUCAACUGUGACUGUUUCAGUAAUGCUACAGCCCUUUGACUAUGAUCCGAAUGAAAAGAGUAAACACAAGUUUAUGGUACAAUUUUUGCUCCACUAAACACUUCAGGUAUGGAAGCUGUGUGGAAAGAGGCAAAACCUCAUGAAUUAAUGGAUUCCAAAUUGAGAUGUCUAUUUGAAAUGCCCAAUGAAAAUGAUAAAUUGAAUGACAUGGAACCUAGCAAAGCUGUUCCACUGAAUGCAUCUAAACAAGAUGGACCCAUGCCAAAACCACACAGUGUUUCACUUAAUGAUACCGAAACAAGGAAACUAAUAGAAUAGUGUAAAAGACUUCAGGGAGAAAUGAUGAAGCUAUCAGAAGAAAAUCGACACCUGAGAGAUGAAGGUUUAAGGCUCAGAAAGAUAGCACAUUCGGAUAAACCUGGAUCAACCUCAACUGCAUCCUUCAGAGGUGUCACCAGUCCUCUUCCUUCACUUCUUGUUGUAAUUGCAGCCAUUUUCACUGGAUUCUUUUUCUUUUUUUGGAGACGGAGUCUUACUCCUGUUGCCCAGGCUGGAGUGCAGUGGCAUGAUCUGGGCUCACUGCAACCUCCGUCUCCUGGGUUCAAGCAAUUCUCCCACCUCAGCCUCCCGAGUAGCUGGGAUUACAGGCGCUGGUCACCACACCCAGCUAAUUUUUGCAUUUUUAGUAGAGAAGGGGUUUUGCCAUGUUGGCCAGGCUGGUCUUGA